UACGUAGGGGGCAAGCGUUAUCCGGAAUUAUUGGGCGUAAAGCGUGCGUAGGUGGUUACCUAAGCGCAAGGUUUAAUCUUGUGGCUCAACCUCAUUCUGCCUUGCGAACUGGACUACUUGAGUGCAGGAGGGGAAAGCGGAAUUCCUUGUGUAGUGGUGAAAUGCGUAGAUAUAAGGAAGAACACCGGUGGCGAAGGCGGCUUUCUGGACUGUAACUGACACUGAGGCACGAAAGCGUGGGGAGCAAACA
rnacentral:rRNA from 1 species